rnacentral:rRNA from 1 species
GACGAACGCUGGCGGCGUGCUUAACACAUGCAAGUCGAACGGAAAGGCCCUGCUUUUGUGGGGUGCUCGAGUGGCGAACGGGUGAGUAACACGUGAGUAACCUGCCCUUGACUUUGGGAUAACUUCAGGAAACUGGGGCUAAUACCGGAUAGGAGCUCCUGCUGCAUGGUGGGGGUUGGAAAGUUUCGGCGGUUGGGGAUGGAUUCGCGGCUUAUCAGCUUGUUGGUGGGGUAGUGGCUUACCAAGGCUUUGACGGGUAGCCGGCCUGAGAGGGUGACCGGACACAUUGGGACUGAGAUACGGCCCAGACUCCUACGGGAGGCAGCAGUGGGGAAUAUUGCACAAUGGGCGGAAGCCUGAUGCAGCAACGCCGCGUGCGGGAUGACGGCCUUCGGGUUGUAAACCGCUUUCGCCUGUGACGAAGCGUGAGUGACGGUAAUGGGCAAAGAAGCACCGGCUAACUACGUG